rnacentral:lncRNA from 1 species
AUCACGCGAGCGUUGUGUCUCGGCUGGCGGGAGCCGGGGACGGGAAAGGAGAGUGCUCGGUGCGUGGGCUGGGCGUGCCUGCGUCCCCUCGAGCCCCACGGGGCACCCUCCCCACUUGCCUGUGGCCUCGGAGCCCGCGGGCGGUUUUGGCUCGGCGUCGCGCCCCGAGGCGGCUUCCGGGUGCGUGGCUGCGCUCGCCGAGGCCCGGGAAGUUGCCGUCGUCAAACCCAAAGGCUGACCGCCUCUGGGAGCUGCUGGCAAACGUGGGGGUGCGCGGCCGCUGAGCGCAGCCGGGGUGGCGGUGGGAUGAGAGGGCGGCGUCCCUGUUUGCGGUCAUUUUGCGGCCAGGAGGACGGGUGAGAGGGCGCCGCCCGCCGGAGGUCGGACGGGCGCCGCUGGCGGGAGUCCUCCGGUAUUUUUCGGUGUGAGGUUGCCUAGCCAGUGUGCAAGGUUGUGGCUUUUGCGGAGUCUCUCGGGACGGUCUUGUUAUCGGGCAUUCCGGCGUGAGAACGCUGCCUCUGGGGCCCUUCCCACCCUGCUUGUCAGGGUUUUAAACACAAACGACUCCGUUGUGACCUUGACAACUCUCACACAGUUCAGUUGGCUUUUAAGAUGCCUUUAAUCCCAAAAGUCCUCCCUGAGGGGUCUGGUAGUGCCGGGCAAAGACCACCGCAAGCGCCCAAGGGACGCUGUUGACACUCGGGAACUCCACCCCGGGCACCACGCAGCUUCGCCGAAGGUGUUAAUAUUGUGGCCAACUAUGAAUAGCUGUUUCAAACGACUAAUUUUGGGCCUUUCCUGUGAUUCCUGAGGUCACUUUUCAGUUAACUCAAAAACACAACUAUUGAUCACUUUACUUUCCAGUGAAUUCAAUCGAGUUAAUUAUAUUUGUUCUGUAGUUUCUUUCAAGGAAACUCCAAGCCAAACAGUAGCAAAGAACAUCCUACUUGACUGUUUUUGAGCAUAUUCAGUGAAUUCCAAGGAAAUUUUUACUGAAUUUGUAACAGAGUAGGGCACUGGCAGGUACUGAAUGAAUAAACAAAUGCCCAGAAGAAGCAGGGUCACCUUUACAUAGGAAUCUGUCUCCCCUCGUUCCUGCGUCUUCAUAAUUUUGUGUGCAUAUGUAUGUGGAGAUUAUAUCACAUAUGUAAAACAUUGCAGAGUCUAAACUCUCAACUCCAGGCAAGGGCAGUAAACCCCAAGCAAGGAAUGGAAGUGGUUUCCCUUUUCUUACUCUUCACAGUCCCUGGUUUGCUGCAGCAACAAAUUAUAUUAUGUAGAUUGUAAAUAUGCAACCGGUUAAUGCUCCUAACACCACCUUUCAUUCAAAACUAAGCCUCAACACAAAAGCAAGUAAUUGCUUUGUUGACACAGAAAGGAGCCUGAGCCUUUCUUUUGCAGCUUUCCUCUACUGGAAAAUUGUAGGAUCACAUCCUACAAAGACUUGCAUAAACAUAAGCCACGUAAAAAAUUCUGUAAUCCCAGCACUUUGGGAGGCCGAGGAGGGCAGAUCACGAGGUCAGGAGAUCAAGACCAUCCUGGCCAACAUGGUGAAACCCCGUCUCUACUAAAAAUAACAAAAAAUUAGCCGCGCAUGGCGGCGCGCACCUGGAGUCCCAGCUACUCGGGAGGCUGAGGCAGGAGAAUUACUUGAACCCGGGAGGCGGAGGUUGCAGUGAGUCGAGAUCGCACCACUGCACUCCAGCCUGGGCGACAGAGCAAGACUACGUCUCAAGAAAAAAAAAAAAAUCCUGUGCCAUGUGCCAUCCAGUGGUUGACCCAAGGAUGUAAACUAGAUUGAAGAGAAGUUUCCAUGUUGCAUACCAGUCAGCCCAAGUGUCCUCAGCUUCCCUCUGUGUGAGCCCCGGGUUUCCAGCCCCUCCCUGUGGUUAAUUGCCUGCAGAAAGCAGAUCCUAAGGCUCUGCCACAGCUCAGUCUUACAGGUGUCUGGUCUGACUGCAGGUCCAGCUCGGCUCUUAGAUUUUUGCUAAUAUUAUACCCCUCAAUCUCCUGUGACCUUUCAUGACCCCUCCAUCCUUUCCUUCUUGUAGACAAGGAGAAGUGCUGCUUUCUCUGGAGUGUCAUUCCGAGUGCUCCGGUGCACAGCUGCGAAGUUCCAGCCUUCCUGGUUUCAGAGGAAAGUGCUAUCUUGUGCUUAGGUUCAACUCUUCCUGCUUUUGGGUCCUCCCCCACACCUCUAAAUACGUCUCGUUAUGGAGGGUGGGAGCACGUGCUCUGCAUCUCUUCAAUUUGGAGGUUAUACCAGCAAAUUAAAUAUACUGGGGACAGUGAAAGCCAGGUUUCUUGCUGUUGGAGAAGGUAAAAACAUGGAAGAGGGAAGGCUAAAAAGAACACUGAGGGAUUGGAUUGGAACUGGAAGUGGUAGUAUGAACUCAUUUUUUUAAAAUAUGUAUAUACAGAUAGAUAUAAAGAUAGCUGUAUGUGUGUGCACACAUGUGUAGGUAUAUGUGCAUAUAAACACAGAAAUAGUUUCUAGUUCUGUCUGCUGAGUAUCUAGAUGCAAUGGUACCCCAGUACCAGUGAUCACAGCUAGCCCCCAGAUCUUAUCUUCUAAAUAAGGUUUUCCAACAAAAGGAAUCAGGGCUCUUUGGAGAAAUGGUUAAUUUCAGGGCUGGAGUGGAAGUACAAGAUGAUCCUGGAAUAAUUUUGUUGUUCAAGGAAGUGAAGAAGUGCUCAAAGAUUGACAGGAGAUCAAAGGACAUGGAAAGUAGUUGGAGGGAGUUCUUGCUGGCGAAAUCUAGGACAAUUUGAGCAACAAAACAAAGAAUGAUAUUGGCAGAUUACCACUGAGUGAGCAAAAUAGAAACGCAUGAGUUGAGUCCACACUGAUGUAGAUCAACAAACCAGUGAUGAAUGCAGGGAAAAUAAUAGUGGAGAAGGGGAGGUUCUUCUUUACAGUAGAAUGUGAACUCAUAAAUGGAGAAGGAAUUAUGAGAAUGGAAAUAACCAUUUACCAAUCACUGUAGUGGGGUUGUUGCAGGAGUGAGAAUGGAAAUAACCAUUUACCAAUCACUGUAGUGGGGUUGUUGCAGGAGUGAGCUAUCAAUGGAGGCUCAGGGUGGUAGGUGGAGAUUUGAUGAGGAAUGAGAAUGGACAUCUUUCUUCAGCAUACUUUUCCAUUACAAAGAGGAAAAUUGAGACUUUCUGGUGGGAAACACCAGCAGACACCAGCGUGGCCAGGUAAUGAGACACCUGUCACCAGUGGAGAAAAGUUGAAACUGAGUCCCCGUGCACUGUGCUGAGAAGAGCACAGCAGCACGCCUGACACUUUUCUGCCAGAAACCACAGCCUCAGUCUAGCCUAGGGAAUAUCAGAUAGACCCAGAAGGAAGGCCAUUCUGUUUUCUUUAUUACUGUCAUGAGCCAGGAACAGUGGCUCACGCUUUGGGAGACUGAGGCAGAAGGAUCACUUGAGGCUGGGAGUUCGAGACCAGCCUGGGCAAUGUAGUAAGACUCCAUCUUUACAAAAAAAAAUCUUAAAAAUUGCCCUGGCAUGGUGGCACGAGCCUGUAGUCCCAGCUACUAAGGCUGAGGCAAGAGUAUUGCUUGAGCCCAGGAAUUCAAGGCUGCAGUGAGCUAUGAUUGCACCACUGCACUCUAGCCUGAGUGACAGAGGGAAACCCCUUCUCAAAUAAAUAAAUUGUCAUAAGAGACAGGAUAAGACUAAGAAUUGUUCCAGAUUAUAUGAGACUGAAGAGACAUAACAACUCCAUGCAAUGCAUGUUCCUGGGAGGUCCCAGACAUGGGAAAAGAAGUGUGGGCACAGUUGGUGAAGCUUGGGUGGGGUCUAUGGGUUGGACAAUGUAUUGAUAUUGAUUUCUCCACUGGGAAGGUUGUGUAGUGGAGGUGAUCCUUGUUUUUAGAGUAUUUGGGGGUGCCGUGGUUUGAAUGUGUCCCUUCCAAAAUUCAGAUGUUGAAACUGAAUGGCCAAGGCCAGGUGUGGUAGCUCACCAGUAAUCCCAGCACUUUGGGAGGCUGAGGCAGGAGGAUCGCUUGAGCCCAGGAAUUCAAGACCAGCCUGGGCAACAAUGGGACCCCCAUCUAUACAAAAAAUUUAAAAAUUAUCUUUGCAUGGUGGCAUGUGCCUGUAGUCCCAGCUAUUCAGGAGGCUGAGGUGGGAGGAUCAUUUAAGCCCAGGAGAUCAAGGCCGCAGCGAGCUCUGGUCACGUCACUGCACUCCAGCCUGAGCCACAGAGCGAGAACCUAUCUCAGAAAAAAAAAAGAAACUUAGUGGUCAGUGUGAUGGUAUAAGGAGGUGAGACCAUGAGGUGACUAGGCCAUGAGGCUCCUCCCUGUGGAUGGAGGUAGUGACCUUGCAGACGAGGCUUCUGGCCAGGUGAGCACUCAACACUCCUCCC